CUGUUCCCCGUGUCUGCUGUUAUAAUGCUGACAUAUAUAUCUGCAAGCAACAACUCCAGGAUACUUCAGGAGGAAAUAAGAUCCCCUGUUCCGUGUGCUGUCCGCAUCCGCAGCCCUGCAAAAAGGUGUUAUUAAAGCCAAACCCAAGAAAACUUUUCUUUUGAAAAGUAAAUCCAUAAUGGGUACAGGAGCUUCCAAAACCCAGCCAAAGAAGGAAAAUGUAGGCGAUAAUGAGGAAAGAACAACUGUGA